GUUAGGAAUCUGAUAUGAAAAUACAUUUAAAUUAAUAUAUUUUGAUAAAUGAUAUAAUAAAUAAUAAAUGAUAUAAUGUAUAGAGGUUGAUGGCAUAUAUUGUAAUUUUUCUAGUAAAUGAAUAGUUGUUUAAAUAUGGUGUGAAAAGAGUUGUGGUGUUGACACAUAAGUAUAAUGGUAAACUUGCUAAUAAUAUAUAAAAUCAAAGUUUUUUAUUGCUUCUUUUUUAAUAACAAGGGGGUAUAAUUGAAGUUUGAACUAACUAAACCGAAUAGAUAUAUUGAUCUACUUAAAGGAAACCGACUCAAUUUUUAACUGAAAAUUUAAUUUUCAUGUGAACUGGUAUGCUAUUUUUUAUUUUUUAAAUUAAUAUUAAAUUUUAUUCAUUGAAAAAACAAUUUUACAUCAAAUGCACCUUUAUUACAAUAAGCUAAUCCUUUAUAACUUAUACUCCUAUUGAAAUUGAAAUAUUCACAAUCUUGUUCCAAACCAAAAUUGCAGCAUUCCUUUUAUACCCUUUCCACCUUUUGUUCUCAUCAGACAGUUUGUUUAGAACUCCUUUUUCAAUCGGUAUGAUAUUCAAUAUGCACACAUCAGUUCGAAUCUUCUGUGAUGAAAACUGGUUGCGUUUGUUAGAGGUUGGAUUAUCA
rnacentral:lncRNA from 1 species